UGUCGAAUGUUUCAUGUCCG
rnacentral:misc_RNA from 1 species